rnacentral:rRNA from 1 species
UUGGCUCAGGAUUGAACGCUGGCGGCGUGCCUAAUACAUGCAAGUAGAACGCUGAAGAGAGGAGCUUGCUCUUCUUGGAUGAGUUGCGAACGGGUGAGUAACGCGUAGGUAACCUGCCUGGUAGCGGGGGAUAACUAUUGGAAACGAUAGCUAAUACCGCAUAAAAUUGAUUAUUGCAUGAUAAUUAAUUGAAAGAUGCAAUUGCAUCACUACCAGAUGGACCUGCGUUGUAUUAGCUAGUUGGUGAGGUAACGGCUCACCAAGGCGACGAUACAUAGCCGACCUGAGAGGGUGAUCGGCCACACUGGGACUGAGACACGGCCCAGACUCCUACGGGAGGCAGCAGUAGGGAAUCUUCGGCAAUGGGGGGAACCCUGACCGAGCAACGCCGCGUGAGUGAAGAAGGUUUUCGGAUCGUAAAGCUCUGUUGUAAGAGAAGAACGGGUGUGAGAGUGGAAAGUUCACACUGUGACGGUAUCUUACCAGAAAGGGACGGCUAACUACGUGCCAGCAGCCGCGGUAAUACGUAGGUCCCGAGCGUUGUCCGGAUUUAUUGGGCGUAAAGCGAGCGCAGGCGGUUAGAUAAGUCUGAAGUUAAAGGCUGUGGCUUAACCAUAGUAUGCUUUGGAAACUGUUUAACUUGAGUGCAGAAGGGGAGAGUGGAAUUCCAUGUG